rnacentral:misc_RNA from 1 species
CUGCGAAGACGUGUCAGCAGACACGGAGAUUGUCGACGUUAUUUUCUGUGUGGGUUGGUGCUGCUCACGUUCAAGACAGGUGCGAUGACUUGGAACCGUGACUGGCUCUGUUCGGGGCAUCCGACGGCUGCCGAGUCUACGGUGAACACGCUUAGCCAGCUGCCAGUGGCGAUUACCGGGUACGUAGGCGCGGCGUGGGCGGGCCGGGUGCCUCUGCCUCGGGGCUCUGAUCGGACACCGUGGAUACUUCGCACAGGUGGACAGUAACCUGCAUAUGUAGGCAACGUGAGUCGCUUAGUGGUGUAUGUGGUCCGGUCGCUUGCACUCUUGGCUUGUUCAUUCGGCGCUACAUCGCGGAAACGUUCGACCGUGGAUGCCAGGCCUUGCGUCGUGAUUCGCAUUGAGCGACCUGAUUCGGGCUGACCAGUGACCGAGACGCCGUACCGGAACGGCUGAUUUUACAGUCAGGAUGGAAAUCGCAAGGUGUCUUGACCUGAGCUUUCGAGUUACGGGGCGUCGAGGCCUUUUUAAGCGGAGUCAAACACAUCCUGUGCAUGAGGUAGCGGAUUCAUAGGCCACACUGUGGAUCGGGUCACUGAUAUGCAAUGGUAUCGAAUCAGGGAACACGAUUUUCACCCUCGUAUAGAGCAGGAGAAUCGUUUCCGGUCUAUACAUGCGGCGAUGCAGCCUUGCUGGAUUCCCGCCUGGACCAAUCUUGUGCCUCGCUCCAGCUCGGGAAGCAAUGCCUGCUCUCUCCUGGCCACGGAUGAUGUUCUUCGUCGACUAUCUUCAGCGUUUGAGCACAAUCUCCAUACGGUGCUCCCAACGAGUUGCAGGAUUGUUUGCUCGACACAAAGCCGAUGGAUACUCCGGGCGCACGCCACACCUCCAGAUAUUGAUUGAUUGUGCUCAGGUAGCAGUGCAGAAACCGCUUACUCGCGUGCUCGCUGAUGGAAUCGCAAUAUAACUGACAUUCGAUCAGCUUCAAGUACAAGAAUCUCUUGUAGCCCGACUCUGGUUUACGCGCUUCUCCUCUCUAACGGAUUACGCGCGCAUUCGUGCUCAUCAUGUGUGUAUGUCGUGCGAGACGCAUUGAUAGGCUUGCAAGCAAUCGAUUCCUGCGCGCACUCAACGCUGUCGCCGAAGAGACAGGAGUGCAGUCCUUUCGCGCUCCAGCACGUCCGGUGCUGUGGGCCUGCACCUAACAACGGGACGUUUCGCUUAUGUCGCCUUCCGACUCCGUGCUCAGGUUGGUGGAUGCAGGCCUCUGGCCUCUGGACGCCCGAAACCUUUGCCGACCCCCAUGUGGUCUCUUACGGUCCUGCCCGAGGUCGUGCGCGUGAGCGAUCUCCACGUUCAUGGGCGCUGUGCGUGAAGCGUAGAAUCCCCUCCAUCAGUCUCCAUUUUUCGGGCUAGAUACAUGAGGGUACAACGCGUAUAACGCACCCAGGGAGCUUGUCAUGUAGCGCUCGAUAUUGACCCGCACAUAGGUUUGGAGUAUGUUUGGAUGCAUUUUAGCAGAUGCGCUGUCGAUUUUUUCGAAGCUUACGUUGUGCAGCGGCGUAUCAAGGUAGCCCAGGAAGCACAUGUGCGAAUCUCUGAUCCUACUUUUCGACCGUAUUCGCCUCCUGUCCCGAUUAUCAGUUAUUUCGCCGCACGAAGGUUUGAUCAAAACAAAAUUUCAGAGGAAUCUGGACAACUGGCAGCGCAGCGUCUGAAACUCCAGUGAACAAUUGUUCGACGAGGUGCAUCACGUCGAGGCAAUCUAGACGAACCUUCUUCGAGUACCAAGCUACGUGUUCCUUCAUGGUGUUCGAAGUCGCUCGUUUUGGAAGCUUCUCCCCGGUGACGUGUUCGUGUUCCGGAGUGAUGCUCAUGUCAGGCAAAUUUCCCUUCCUGUCAUUCGUUGUCCUCUUCUCUGGAUUCUCUUGCUCUGUUUUGUCUGGUGGUUUCUUCUCCCUCUCCUUGCUCGCCUUCUAUUCUACUAGGCGGCGUGGCAUAGACGUGGUCGAUUGACUCCACACGCGCUUUUUUUUUCUGGGCUCAGACGUGCUGAAUGACCGCUGAGCCCGAAGAUCGCUUUUGGAUGGAUGUAUGCAUGCAUGCAGCUGCCAUUUCUGAAGUAAAUUUUCUUCAGCUUUUCCGUCGCGAGCGCUCCUGCCUUCUAUAUAUCGUGCACGAGCAGAGGAGCAAUACGAAAGCUCAGGGCUGAUGGAGGCUGGAAACGACUCGUCGGAUAGCGGUAUCACGGAUGCAUGCGACUUGGACGUGGAUUCGUGAGCGUUGCAAUGAAGUUGGGCGAGAGAUAAAACGCCUUCGACUCGAUUGACACUGGACAAAUACACUUGCACGAAGAGCACCUCAACGCCGAUCUCAACUGCGUGCUCUUUCACCGAUUUCGGAUGAUCCAAAUCAACGUUGUCUAACUGCGAAGGAGAAGCCGCCGAGUGUGCUUCGACGAAGAAUGGAGUGGUGCAGGAUCCUGUGCCUUUGGCGGCUCGAAGGCGACCGCACGAUAGCAUCGUCGCUAGAGCGCAUACCAUUGGCAUGCUCGGUUGUCUCUCCUGAGCGGACGCCGGUUUGCCGCUCUUCGAGUACCCAUACACAGGUUUACUGUAUCUCCCGAAUCAUCGCUCGUCAAGUGAGACAAAUGCCUCUGUACCAUUUGUCGUACGCGUUCACGUUUCAGUGCGAACUCGAUGCUCCAUGUUGCCCAGCAUGCGACUGACUAAAAUUGAGGCACGCUUGUUUCAUCGUCUAUUCUGUGUGUAUUUAUCAACGUGCGUACCAAAGAAUCGGAAAUUUCAUAUCGUCGAGCGUCUGGGGUAGUAUUUCUGGGAUAUCCCACCGGAUGGAGCACAUUGACGACGACGCUUUCGUACAGAUAGAGUCUGAUGUGUUCUCCUUUGAAUACAUGGCGUUCAGGGUACGGACGACGAGAAGCGUGAUUCACGUGCUUGCGACCCAUGGAGUGACCGACUAGGACAAGGUAGCUCGUGCAUCUCUGGCGAUUAUUUACAGCAUAAAGUCUUUUCGAGACC